ACUCCUACGGGAGGCAGCAGUGGGGAAUAUUGCACAAUGGGCGCAAGCCUGAUGCAGCCAUGCCGCGUGUGUGAAGAAGGCCUUCGGGUUGUAAAGCACUUUCAGUCGUGAGGAAGGUAGUGUAGUAUANCGCAUUAUUUGACGUUAGCGACAGAAGAAGCACCGGCUAACUCCGUGCCAGCAGCCGCGGUAAUACGGAGGGUGCGAGCGUUAAUCGGAAUUACUGGGCGUAAAGCGCAUGCAGGUGGUUUGUUAAGUCAGAUGUGAAAGCCCGGGGCUCAACCUCGGAAUUGCAUUUGAAACUGGCAGACUAGAGUACUGUAGAGGGGGGUAGAAUUUCAGGUGUAGCGGUGAAAUGCGUAGAGAUCUGAAGGAAUACCGGUGGCGAAGGCGGCCCCCUGGACAGAUACUGACACUCAGAUGCGAAAGCGUGGGGAGCAAACAGGAUUAGAUACCCUGGUAGCUACGAGU
rnacentral:rRNA from 1 species